GAUGGAAAUCGGGAUGACGGGGCAUCCUGGAUCGCCUCUCUUGACCGGCAGAAGGUCAGUAGUAACUUCAGUGACGGGGUUACUCCAGUAGUUACCUGCAUCAAACAUGUCUACAAGAUUUGCAGAUUCUAAUCCUUCCGGUUGUGAUGGUAUACCGGGGUUAGUAGCAGGAAUAGCAGCAGCUAUUUGAUUUAACUGAGAUUCAAUCAUUUUAUUAAAGCUAAUUUGAUUCUUGAUGGCAGUAG
rnacentral:lncRNA from 1 species